AAAAUUAGAAAAACGUUUGGGAAACCCUAUGUAUGUAUGGAACAUUCUCAUGCCACUCUCAUCUCUUCACUAUCGAUCGUCGCCGUUCGCGUUCUAACCGCCAUCCACUGUUCGAUCGUCGCCGUUCUACAAUUUUUUCACUGAAAACCUGCUCGCAGGUAGGAGAUUUGAAUUAGGUCAAUUCAAGUUAGAGUCUUAUGAUCAAUAAGGAAGUCUCCAAACAUAAGCGUGUAAGCAUCAUUACAUCAAUUGUUAGUUAUACACUUGCAAUUGCAAAUCAUAAUCAACUUUGGAAGACUGUUGUAAUCACCAACAUGCAAUUGCAAAUCAUAAUCAACUUUGGAAGACUGUUGUAAUCACCAACAUGCAAUUGCAAAUCAUAAUCAACUUUGGGAGACUGUUGUAAUCACCAAUGGAACACUGUCGUGUUUCAACGGGGUGGUAGCUAAGGCUUUUAAUUGGUACAUUAAUUAUUCAAUGAAUCAAAAAAGAGAAUUUCUCUUAUAAUUUGGGACAGAGGGAGUACAUCAUAGGAGUCCUAGGUCAUUCUGGACUCAUGAUAUUACUUAUCAACUUAUGAAGAAAAUAGCAGUAUGUGACACAUUUUACUCUCCCUCAAAUGUUUUGUACUCUUUAUGUUGAAUUGUAGAAGAUUUGCAUGCUUAUUUUUCCCUUGUCUUUUCCGAGGCUUGAUGGAACUGCUGAGCUUGUUUGGAUGAAAAGUUUUGGUAUCCUUGAUAGGCUAAAGAGGGAAGGAUAAGGUCAGGUCUUGAUUUGACUUUAGAAGCUAACUGUUAUUUAGAUUAGUUCAUCAGUUAAGCAGAGUUUGUCUCAAUAUUUUUUCUAUACAAAUGCACAAAUAUUUGGUUUUGUAUGAAGAUUAAUUUAUAAUAAUCAUUGUUUA